rnacentral:rRNA from 1 species
AUGUCUGUGAUUAAAUUCCCUAAGUGGGCCAUCAAAGCCAUCACUUCUCUGAUGGCACAUUUCUUCUGGGGGGACUCGGGUGAUGAACAUAAAUACCAUCUUGCUAACUGGGGUCUGAUUUCUCAGAAAAAAGAAUUUGGUGGUUUGGGGAUUCCCAAUUUAAGAGAGUUCAAUAUGGCUUUAUUAGCUUCUUGGGCUAAAAGAUACUUCAUAAAUCAGGAUAAGGAUUGGGUGAGAUUGGUUGAUCGUAAGUAUAAACCUAAUAAACCUAAUUUGUUGUGGGCCAAGCAGGGUGUGGGUUCACCAUUUUGGAAAGGGGUGACCUGGUCUUUGGAAGGCAUUAGACCUUUUUUUAGAUGGAAUUUGGGGAAUGGGGAAAAGAUUAGCUUCUGGGAUGACACUUGGGCUGGGGAUUCUUCCCUGAAAACUCAAUUUUGGGAGGUGUAUGAGAUUUGCCAGCAACAACAUUGUGUGGUAGCUGUGGAGUGGGAUGGCAACACCCUCAAACUCACAUUUAAUAGGUGUGUUAGUGAGGGGUUUAUGGACAGAUCCCAUGACUUGAUCCAGGUCAUCUCCACCAAAAUCUUAUCACUGAGGAAGACCAACCUAUCUGGCUAUUGGAGCCAUCUGGGAUAUACUCUGUCAGAUCUUGUUAUAAUAUGA